AAUACAUACGAGUCUUAAGUCUUGUAAUUGGAAUGACGGGAAUCUAAAACCUUUCCGGAGUAUCAAUUGGAGGGCAAGUCUGGUGCCAGCAGCCGCGGUAAUUCCAGCUCCAAUAGCGUAUAUUAAAAUUGUUGCAGUUAAAAAGCUCGUAGUUGAAUUUCUGCUGCAUCCGUGUCAUUCCUAACUGGUUUGUCACUGUUGUGGCUUUUUCUGGUGGUUGUGCUUCGGCUAGAUCUCCAGAUUGUUACUUUGAGAAAAUUAGAGUGCUUCAAGCAGGCUUUUGCCUUGAAUACUUUAGCAUGGAAUAACUAAGUAGGACUUUGGUUCUAUUUUGUUGGUUUAAGAGCCAAAGUAAUGAUUAAUAGGAACAGUUGGGGGCAU
rnacentral:rRNA from 1 species